rnacentral:lncRNA from 1 species
GAAAGUAUCCCGCCCUGUUGAGACUUAACCACAAAAUCAUUAGCAAAAAAUUCAACGGAACAAGGAUUGUCAUGGGUCAAUUGUCCUACAGAGAGUAAAUUUUUCUUUAUAUCAGGAACAAUGAGAACAUUUUUCAGACUUAAGCUACCAUUUUUGGUUUUUAGUUGUCCUUUACCAACAUGAGAAAUGGAAAGGCUUUCACCAUUUCCUACAAAUGUAGAUUCAUUGCCCUUAUAUGGAGUAGUUUUGCAAGUUUACCUGGAUUGUUUAGGAUGUGAGUUGUCGCUCUUGAAUCGACAUAGAGUGAAGAAUCUUCAUGUUCUAGUUUCAUUGCAGCAAGGGCCUUAGGAAGUUGGUCUUCGGGUUGAAAAGAAUGGUCAAACCGAUUCCAACAUUCCAAGGCUGAGUGAUUAGUCUUACCGCAAAUUUGGCAAAUGAUAGCUUGUUCUUUCUUUUGUUGACGCGGAUCGACACUAUAAUUAGUUGCCUUCGGCUGGUAUGGUAUUUUAUCAUUGAAAUUUGGCCUAGCACUGUAAUUACCAUGGCACGCUGCUGGAGCAAAGCCUCAUCCUCUCGAGUUAAACCUUCUUCCACCACGAUGUCGUCCUCUUCCUCUUUGUCCGAUGAAAGCUUGUUCAUGGUGAGGUUGCAAGUGAUCUUUCUCUUCGCUUUCAUUAAUCAUCAUCUGUUCAUGAGCUUGCGGGGCUACAACAAACUGAUUAUAAGUAGGAUAAGGGGCUUUUGCUAACAUAGCAGUUCGAAAAUCCUUAUAUUUAGCGCCAAGACCCCUAGCUAGUUGAAAUGUGUUGCUUGUAUCGUCCAUGGGCUUUUUAAUUGCAUCCAAGCUAUCACAUAAGCCUUUGAACUUCUUAAGGUAUUCAUCAAGAGACAUGUUUUCCUUUUUAAGGGAUAUCAAUUUUUCAUUCAAAAGUUGUUCUUUUUCAAUCGUAGUAGGGAGAAUCUGAUUCUCAAUAGAUUGCCAUACCUGAUGUGCCGUUUGGAUGUUUUCCAACAACAUUAGAACCUCUGUCUCUAUGUUUCUUAGUAACCAAGUCAUUAGCAAGCCAUCAUUGUUGAUCUAGGUAAGAUACUACAGAUUUGGAGCAGCCUUUCUGUCGUCUCCAGUGAUUUCUAUUUCCGACUUGCUUUCAUUGGUAAGGUGAUGUUUUAAUCAUUGGUAAAGGUUCCAUUUGAGAAUACCAAAGUAAGAAGUUUGAAGUGUCUAGUUUCAAUGAGAUGAGACUAGUACACUGGUGCAAAGUUUGAAGAGAAACAGAGGGUUCUUGCACUUGUUGGUUAGAAUUGGCCAUGAGAGUUUUGCGUGUUCCAAUCUCUUGUGAGGGAUCUGUUACCAUGAAGAGAUUUGAACAUAUUAAUCUCAUUCCAGUUCUCUAUUUUCUAACAUACAAGAUAUCAUAUUAUAUACACAAGAGAUUGAAAAUGAAAAAGGCAAGGAAAAGUAAUUCCAAAGCAGACCCAACGACUACAAGAGAGAAAUUGGAAAAGAGUCUUCAAUGACUUCAAUUGGUCUUGGAGAAUCUCUCUUUCCAAUUUCCAUAUAUACAAAUAAACGUUUCUUUGUUUCCUUGUUGGCUUCAUUCAGAAUAUUGGAUUCAACUUCUUUCCUUAGUUGACAUAUUCCUUAGUUGGCACUUGACAUAAUUCAACUGCUUUCCUUUUCAUCAGUGAGCGCGGGUACCCAGUGUGAGUGAUGUGAUGUUGCCCGAGGGGAUAAUCUUGAUUCAUGUUGUUUCCCUAGGGGCCGAUUAUGAGUGAUUGUGAGGUAGCCCGAGGGGCUGAUUCUGUUGAUAUUUUGCCCAAUGGGCAGUUUAUGGUACAUGUCUUGCCCGAGGGGCUGUUUACGUUUCUAUCAUUUAUACUCGCCGUUUCAUUACUUGUUGAAACCAUUGAAAGAUGUUUUUAAAAGAAAAGGUUUUUACUGAAACUGAGUUGUUUUACGAGAUAAUUGAUUUCUGUACUAUUUUGGAAAUGUGCUGUAUUUGUUGUGGUGCUAUGACAUGGAAUUAUCUGUUUUCUUACUGCUCAACUUUCAUUUACUUUUAUUACUUACUGAGUUGGCAUACUCACAUUACUCCCUGCACCUUGUGUGCAGAUCCAGGAGUUGCGGGUCGCGAUAGUGAGUGCUGAUCGUUCUUCCAGCAGGUCUUCGUAGUUGGCAAGGUAGCUGUUUGGCGUUCGCAACCCUACACUUCUCCUUCUUACCUUACUCAGACUGUUCUUAGUAUUUUAUUUUCGUACUAUGAUAGCCUUUCUUAUGUUUAGAC